GCAUAUCAAUAAGCGGAGGAAAAGAAACUAACAAGGAUUCCCCUAGUAACUGCGAGUGAAGCGGGAAAAGCUCAAAUUUAAAAUCUGAUGGUCUUUAUGGCCUUCCGAGUUGUNAUGCUANANNAG
rnacentral:rRNA from 1 species